rnacentral:lncRNA from 1 species
CUUACAACUCCUACUUCUUCUCUAAGAAAAAACCUCCUACAUGAAUGUCCCUCUCAAUUAGGACUCUCCUAACUAGAGUCCUAACAGAAUGUCCCUCUCAAUUAGGACUCUCCUAGCUAGAGUCCUAACAGAAUGUCCCUCUCAAUUAGGACUCUCCUAGCUAAAGUCCUAACAGUUUUACAUGAAUGUCCCUCUCAAUUAGGACUCUCCU